rnacentral:ncRNA from 1 species
AAUUUAAGCAUAUCAAUAAGCGGUGGAAAAGAAACGAAAACGAAUUCUCCAAGUAGCGGCGAGCGAAACGAGAAAAGUCCAUACACCGAAGUCGGCGAGCAGUUGUGUUCGUCAACAGUGUGGUGUUAAAGGUGUCGUUGCAUGUGCUGAAAUCAGUUCGUAGGCUCCCUUGAUUGGGGCUUCAGAGCGGGUGCAGGACCCAUAACGAACGAUGUUUUGUGCAUGGUGUCGCGGCUCCUAAUCGAGUCGGGUUGCUUGAGACUGCAGCCCAAAGCGGGUGGUAAAUCUCACCCAAGACUAAAUAUUCGUACGAGACCGAUAGCGAACAAGUACCGCGAGGGAAAGUUGAAAAGAACUCUGAAGAGAGAGUUCAACAGGA